AAGACUAUAGACCUGCGGAGUACCUGCGGAGGGAUCAUUACAAGUGACCCCGGUCUAACCACCGGGAUGUUCAUAACCCUUUGUUGUCCGACUCUGUUGCCUCCGGGGCGACCCUGCCUUCGGGCGGGGGCUCCGGGUGGACACUUCAAACUCUUGCGUAACUUUGCAGUCUGAGUAAACUUAAUUAAUAAAUUAAAACUUUUAGCAACGGAUCUCU
rnacentral:misc_RNA from 1 species